rnacentral:piRNA from 1 species
UAUUGAUCUGUCUGCACAAGC